rnacentral:rRNA from 1 species
AACGAACGCUGGCGGCAUGCCUAACACAUGCAAGUCGAACGAGACCUUCGGGUCUAGUGGCGCACGGGUGCGUAACGCGUGGGAAUCUGCCCUUGGGUUCGGGAUAACAGUUGGAAACGACUGCUAAUACCGGAUGACGUCUUCGGACCAAAGAUUUAUCGCCCAGGGGUGAGCCCGGGUCGGAUUAGCUAGUUGGUAGGGUAAAAGCCUACCAAGGCGACGAUCCGUAGCUGGUCUGAGAGGAUGAUCAGCCACACUGGGACUGAGACACGGCCCAGACUCCUACGGGAGGCAGCAGUGGGGAAUAUUGGACAAUGGGCGAAAGCCUGAUCCAGCAAUGCCGCGUGAGUGAUGAAGGCCUUAGGGUUGUAUAGCUCUUUUACCCGGGAUGAUAAUGACAGUACCGGGAGAAUAAGCCCCGGCUAACUCCGUGCCAGCAGCCGCCGUAA